rnacentral:rRNA from 1 species
GAGGGCCUACGGGGGGCAGCAGCGAGGAAUAUUGGUCAAUAGGCGGAAGCCUGAACCAGCCAAGUCGCGUGAGGGAAUAAGGCCCUACGGGUCGUAAACCUCUUUUGUCGGGGAGCAAAGAGAGUCACGUGUGACUCAUUGAGAGUACCCGAAGAAAAAGCAUCGGCUAACUCCGUGCCAGCAGCCGCGGUAAUACGGAGGAUGCGAGCGUUAUCCGGAUUUAUUGGGUUUAAAGGGUGCGCAGGCGGAGGGG